UAUGGGCCUGCCGACAGCGCACCGUGAACCCCGCCAGGACCGGAAGGGAGCAACGGCAGCGGAGAGCGGGUGUGGCAGGCCCUUCCUU
rnacentral:SRP_RNA from 1 species